rnacentral:lncRNA from 1 species
AGCUCCAAUCAAGUUUUUCCCCAAUUACUCUAAUCCAUUAUCCCCAUUUCCCCUUUUUCAUUUCAAUCUAGCUACGGUCGCAUUUUCCCCAAAUCUUAAUCCUUUUCACUUUCCCUUAUCUCCAAUUACGUUUUCGAUUUUUUCCAAAUCACACUAAUUUCUCAGAUCCAUUUUCCCCUUUUAAUUUCACACAUUGAAAUCCCUUAAAUCCAGUCGUCCGGUGAGAGAUCUUCAGAUGAUCUUUGUCCGUUUUGCUAACAUUCAGGCUAUCUGCUCAGCAUCGUCUUAUUCAACCCAUGAACUCGGCAGUCGGUGAUUUCUAUAGCAAAAAAUCUUCGACGCAAAAUGCACUUCGUCAGAAACUGAUUUUAGCUGUAAGUUUUUCUUUUUCAAUUUGGGUAUUUUUUUUAUUUAAUCGUUCCUUUUUUCUAUAAUAAUUAGGGUGUGGUGGUGUAUUUAAUAUCUUGCUUUCUGUUAAUUUUUAGAACCCCUAUUGUGAGGGUUUUAUUUUCAUCAGGGUGUGGCUAGUGUGAGUCUAAACUUUUAGAACUAAUGUUCGUAUAGAUAAUCUGCCAAAGAUGAUUUUUCAAAGAGGUCAGUCUUUCAGUUAUGUUUGCUUUUGACAUCUUGAAUUUAUUAACACUUUGAUCUUAGUCUGUUUUUCUGUAUUGCAUUUCCUCUAUAUUUGGAUUUUUCCAGAAGUUGACUCUAAACAUUAGUGUAUGAAUUUUAUGUUAAGGUCUUUGCAUUGAAUUAGUGCUUCAUGCUAGGUGUAGCUGCAAUAAAACCUGUCAAAUUAUGUCUAUUUACUAACAACCAAGAAUUAUUGCUUCAUGCUUGGUUUCUCUUAAUUAGCAG